UUCCUAUGUGGCAAGAGAGCCUUUGGGCAAGGAAUGCCCUUGCUUCUACUGCAGACAGAAUGCUGAACAAACUGGAUGCAGGAAAGUUGACUGCCAAGCUUUGCAAGGACAAGUAUCCUGCCAAGUCCAGGUGUUUCCUCCAGUAUCCAGGACAGCUCGGAAGCAGCUCUCCACAGGUGCUCCUGUCCAGCCUCGAAGACUGCUUAGCCAGGCCUGCACUUUUCUAGACACAGAGAUCCCACAGAUCCCGGACAGCAGUGAAACAGCCAGCUCUCUCAGGACUUAGCAUCCCAAUUUUUUAGGGCCCCCAGAGAAGCCGUUGCAGGAAGCAGUCAAAAGAACCCAAAUGUUUUUAUUCCUACCCUUGGUUUUUUAAACAAAAAGGGAGGAGUGUUAGCGUAGCGGUGAUUCCACUAACCUGCCCCAGGGACAUAGCCUGCUGCCGCCAGGUGUGUGCCAGAUAAAAGGGUCCACCUGCUAUCCUGCUCUCUUGAUCUCUCUGUUCUCCCUGUUUCCUUGCUCUCUGUCUUGGGCUGUCUUGUCCCCACUCUCUCUCCCUCCCUGCCCUCUCUCAUGGCUCACUCACUCUACUCCUUCCCCAGACUCCCUCCCCCGUUCCCACAAUGAGCCUCCUUUAUUACCGGAUCUGUUGGCCUGUGAUUCCUCAGUGGCUAUGUACACCUUGUAGCAAGCCAACCACGGUGCCCCUACCGCCUGAUUAUACAACAGUACUGUCAAUGGGUCCUCCAGGGAAAGAUGAUUUUAAUAAAAAGAUGCUCAUGGCCUUG